GAUGAACGCUGGCGGCGUGCCUAAUACAUGCAAGUCGAGCGAACAGACGAGGAGCUUGCUCCUCUGACGUUAGCGGCGGACGGGUGAGUAACACGUGGAUAACCUACCUAUAAGACUGGGAUAACUUCGGGAAACCGGAGCUAAUACCGGAUAAUAUAUUGAACCGCAUGGUUCAAUAGUGAAAGACGGUUUUGCUGUCACUUAUAGAUGGAUCCGCGCCGCAUUAGCUAGUUGGUAAGGUAACGGCUUACCAAGGCAACGAUGCGUAGCCGACCUGAGAGGGUGAUCGGCAACACUGGAACUGAGACACGGUCCAGACUCCUACGGGAGGCAGCAGUAGGGAAGCUUCCGCAAUGGGCGAAAGCCUGACGGAGCACCGCCGCGUGAGUGAGGAAGGUCUUCGGAUCGUAAAACUCUGUUAUUAGGGAAGAACAAAUGUGUAAGUAACUAUGCACGUCUUGACGGUACCUAAUCAGAAAGCCACGGCUAACUACG
rnacentral:rRNA from 1 species